ACUUAAAAGACAACGUCGCCAUCUAAAAUGCAAGGCCCGUUAUCUGUUAAAAACCUUGGUGGCUGAACCUUAAUAAAAAUAAAAGGAAAAAAGAGAGAAAAAUGCCAGUGGCAAUAACAAUACCCAGUUACCACCACCAUUUCCAUAAGCUAACCCAUCAUAUCUCCUUCUCUCUGCUGUCAGUCUCCUCUUUGAAGAGAACCAUGAGCAGUAGUGGUAAUGCUUUCACAACCAUCAAAGAAAGAGUAACCUUUGAAAGAGAAAUCAAGAAGAGCAAGUUCAUAGCCAUAGCUGGCCCAAUCUCUGAUGAACAGUCUGCCUUUUCCUUUCUUUCUCAGGUUAAAGAUCCACGUGCCACUCAUAAUUGCUGGGCUUAUAAGGUUGGAGAUCAGUUUAGGUCUAAUGAUGACGGUGAACCUUCAGGCACUGCUGGAAAACCUAUUCAAUCUGCUAUUGAUUCUUCCGGGAUUGAUAGAGUCAUGGUUGUGGUAAUCAGGUAUUUCGGAGGUAUCAAAUUAGGCACUGGAGGACUUGUCAGGGCUUAUGGAGGAGUUGCAUCAGAAUGCUUGAGAAAUGCCCCUACUUGUCUUGUCAAAUCCAAGAUUCCAAUGGGCAUCGAGGUUCCCUUUGAUCUUAUAGGAAUUUUGCAUCAUCAGCUACAAUCUUUUCAAGUUGAUAACAUCAUGCAGGAUUAUGAGACUGGUAAAGAUGGCAUUGCCAUGGUUUCUUUUAAAGUUGAUUUUGAUCAGGUUGAGAAAUUGGAGGAUGCUAUCAAGGCAAAUUGCAGUCGAGAUAUUGUAUUUUACAAGCGGUGAGACAGAACUUGGUGUUAGUCAUGCAUAUGGAUAUAACAAGAAUUAUUGCAUGGACGAUGCCAUCAUAAAUCAAAUAGUAUCAGGAGUGGAACAUAACUAACGCGUCAUACUCCAUAGCUGACCUUUCAAAAGCCUUGCACCGGUGAAUCGAGGGUAAGAACAACCAAAAAUCAGUAACCAUCACGAACCCGAUAGUCAAAGGCCCUGAGAUCAGCCAUGGCAACUGCCACCUGCCACCAAAAGUCUUCUUCAGAGCAACCUCAACCGCUAGACAGGAUCCAUGAAGGAGAAAGAAGCAUGUGAAUCCCCAUGUAGGCUUCUGACGUCCAAGGUAAUAGAAAACAAGCUCAUGCAUGAGACCCGACACAAGAAAUGUCCACAAGAUUGCCGGAAUUGGAGCCCACUUUCUGUGUACUACAAGUGGCAAGGUUGCGGGUGGCUCAUAAACGCUGGGUCGCAGUAUGGCUGAAACCAUAAGGUUCCAUCUUUUGCCCUAGAAGUCUUGUAAGGAGGUAGAGAGGUAUGGCUCAUUGAACUGUGGCUCUAUCACUAACCCUAGGAACACUCGAGCCAAUGCUCCCAUCAAGGCUAGGACUAGUUCAAGAGAAACGUAUACUUGGAUACAAUAUAGAAAAGAUAUGAUCUUUGAGUGGAUAUAUUCACUAUACUUAUAAAUAUGAAUCAACAGUUUGCCGAUGAUUUCUUACCACCCUCGAUCAUCUGGAGAGAUGGUCUUUUUUGGAUGUUGAUGGGUAGACAAGCCAGACCAAUAAAGCGUGAAAGAGAAAAAAAAGGAUCUGAAGCUAAUGGACCUUUGCCGAAGGCAAAGAGCAAGAGUUUGAAAUUUGCAAGCCAAGCAAUGAAAAAUGCUGUCUUUCCACCAAGAUGCAUGGUGGAAAGAUGGAGAGGAAGGUAGAGAAAGAGGCAGAGAAUUGGGAGUAAACAAAAGGGUCUUGUAAUGCCUUUUGGAACUCCCUGACCAAGAGCAUGGCAGUAGGCCACAGAGAAAAACUAAUAACCAAAUUCUUAUGAAAUUGCUAAUCUCAUUCUUCAUUUUCAUUUCUUUCUGAUAUAUCCUUGUUUAUUCUU